rnacentral:lncRNA from 1 species
AGACUAUAGAUACCUUCGAGGACUUUACUACAGCAUCAUCAACAAUCAGAAAACACUCCAGGAUUAUCAGUCAUCCAGCAAUGACCAUGAAGUCAGUCAACAACCUGAGGAUCUUAAGAACAGAUUCUGGACUCGUCAAGAUGCCAGGUCACUCCCAAUGCAAGCGGAAAUCACAGGACCAAGCAAGUGUCAACACUCCAUUAAG